UGAGUUGAGUUUAACGCUCUUAGCGAAGUCAGCUGUGAAGAUGUGCGAGCAAGCGAAGAAAAAGAGCAACUGGGAAGAAGAAGAAGAUCCAAAUAAGCAUCAUCCUUUAAUCCACUGCGCAGAGCUUAUCCUUCCAUGGCUAACCCCACAAGAGCUUGCCUGCAUCUCCUUGACCUGCAAAUCCCUAUCCCAAUUCUCCAAAAAAAUCACUAUCCAACGAUCCUUUGACGCUUCCAGAUCCCUUGAGAACCUUCCUGUGCCAUUUCAUAACGCAGUCGAUCACCGCCCUUAUGCCUUCUUCCUAUAUGCCCCAUCUCAAAUCCUUCCUUCUCAGUCUCCCCAACGCCAACCUUGGGGCUCCUCGCGUUUUGCUGCCUCCAUGUGCCCAGUCGGGGAGAGCGUAUCUGGGUGUGAUUGUGAUUGUGAAGCGUGCGAGCAGGGAGGUGCAUCUGGGUGUGAACUUUUGGGCUUGGACGAGCUGGAGAUGGGCAUAAUGAGCGAGUGCGGACUGAGUUGUGAGUGUGGGUUGGAUUGCAGGAAUCGGUUGACUCAGAGAGGGCUUUCUGUUAAGUUGAAGAUUUUGAGAGAUGAGAAGAAAGGAUGGUGCUUGUAUGCUGAUCAGCUGAUUCGGCAAGGCCAAUUUGUCUGCGAAUAUGCUGGUGAACUCUUAACGACCAAAGAAGCCAGAAGCCGGCAACAAAUCUAUGAUGAGCUCACAUGUGCUGGCCAAUUUUCUUCAGCUCUUAUAGUUGUGAGAGAGCAUCUUCCGUCAGGAAAGGCUUGUUUGAGGGUGAAUAUUGAUGCCACAAGAACAGGAAAUGUUGCAAGAUUCAUUAACCAUUCUUGUGAUGGCGGGGANNNNNAACAAUGCUAGUGAGAAGUUCAGGAGCUUUGUUGCCUCGUCUGUGUUUCUUUGCUUCUAAAGACAUAAAAGAAGGAGAAGAGCUCACUUUUAGCUAUGGGGAAAUUAGGGUCAGGUCUAAGGGCCUGCAAUGUUUUUGUGGCAGCCCUUGCUGUUUUGGAAUUUUGCCCUCAGAGCAUACUUAAUCUUAGAAAACCACAUGAGGUAGGUCUAUAAUAUGAGUGGCCAUUUUUAUAGAGAAUGGAACAUUCAUUCAAUUGAUAUACUGCAAUGCUGUUUUCUAAGAU
rnacentral:misc_RNA from 1 species